rnacentral:lncRNA from 1 species
CCACCAUGCGACACACGUUUGGGCUCCUCUGCGCCUGUUGAUCCACCGUGUGACGCACAAGAGGCUCCGCUACACCGGUAACCCGGCGAGCGACACCCGUUUGGGCUCCUCUGCGCCUGUUGCUCCACCGUGUGACACACAAGGGGCUCCUCCAUGACGGUAACCCACCAUGCGACACACGUUCAGGCUCCUCUGCGCCUGUUGCUACACUGGUAACCCGGUGAGUGACACACGUUUGGGCUCCUCUGCGCCUGUUGCUCCACCGUGUGACACACAAGAGGCUCCACUACACCGGUAACCCGGCGAGCGACACACAUUCGGGCUCC